UGGGGAAUAUUGCACAAUGGGCGCAAGCCUGAUGCAGCCAUGCCGCGUGUAUGAAGAAGGCCUUCGGGUUGUAAAGUACUUUCAGCGGGGAGGAAGGGAGUAAAGUUAAUACCUUUGCUCAUUGACGUUACCCGCAGAAGAAGCACCGGCUAACUCCGUGCCAGCAGCCGCGGUAAUACGGAGGGUGCAAGCGUUAAUCGGAAUUACUGGGCGUAAAGCGCACGCAGGCGGUCUGUCAAGUCGGAUGUGAAAUCCCCGGGCUUAACCUGGGAACUGCAUUCGGAACUGGCAGGCUAGAGUCUUGUAGAGGGGGGUAGAAUUCCAGGUGUAGCGGUGAAAUGCGUAGAGAUCUGGAGGAAUACCGGUGGCGAAGGCGGCCCCCUGGACAAAGAAUGACGCUCAGGUGCGAAAGCGUGGGGAGCAAACAGG
rnacentral:rRNA from 1 species